rnacentral:rRNA from 1 species
GGGCCCGCACAAGCGGUGGAGUAUGUGGUUUAAUUCGAUGCAACGCGAAGAACCUUACCAGGGCUUGACAUCCUGCGAACCUCUGGGAAACCGGAGGGUGCCUUCGGGAACGCAGUGACAGGUGGUGCAUGGCUGUCGUCAGCUCGUGUCGUGAGAUGUUGGGUUAAGUCCCGCAACGAGCGCAACCCACGUCUUUAGUUGCCAGCAUUUAGUUGGGCACUCUAGAGAAACUGCCGGUGACAAACCGGAGGAAGGUGUGGAUGACGUCAAGUCAUCAUGCCCCUUACGUCCUGGGCUACACACGUACUACAAUGCUACGGACAAAGAGCAGCUAACUCGCGAGAGUACGCAAAUCUCAUAAACCGUGGCUCAGUUCAGAUCGUAGGCUGCAACUCGCCUACGUGAAGGAGGAAUCGCUAGUAAUCGC